ACCAGGAUGGCCGAGAGGUUAAGGCGUUGGACUUAAGAUCCAAUGGGCUUAUGCCCGCGUGGGUUCGACCCCCACUCCUGGUA
rnacentral:tRNA from 1 species